ACGGGAGGCAGCAGUGGGGAAUAUUGGACAAUGGAGGCAACUCUGAUCCAGCGACGCCGCGUGAGUGAAGAAGUAUUUCGGUAUGUAAAGCUCUAUCAGCAGGGAAGAUAAUGACGGUACCUGACUAAGAAGCCCCGGCUAACUACGUGCCAGCAGCCGCGGUAAUACGUAGGGGGCAAGCGUUAUCCGGAUUUACUGGGUGUAAAGGGAGCGUAGGCGGCCAGACAAGUCAGAUGUGAAAACCCGGGGCUCAACUCCGGGACUGCAUUUGAAACUGCCAGGCUUGAGUGCAGGAGAGGCAAGUGGAAUUCCUAGUGUAGCGGUGAAAUGCGUAGAUAUUAGGAAGAACACCAGUGGCGAAGGCGGCUUACUGGACUGUAACUGACGUUGAGGCUCGAAAGCGUGGGGAGCAAACAGGAUUAGAUACCCUGGUA
rnacentral:rRNA from 1 species